rnacentral:tRNA from 1 species
GGAGAGGUGGCAGAGUGGUCGAAUGUGCCUGACUCGAAAUCAGGUGUGCCGUAAGGUACCGGGGGUUCGAAUCCCUCCCUCUCCGCCA